rnacentral:lncRNA from 11 species
GAGCAGCAGGGCAAAUUCUUUUUUUUUUCUGUAUUAUUGUCUGAAGGUUCAGUCAAGAUUUGCCUUUGGCACAUGGGACAGCUAUAUGCGCUACACAACAAAUAUAAAGUAUGCAACAGAAGUAAAAAUAC